rnacentral:rRNA from 1 species
ACUUGGAUAUGGAUUCUUCACGGUAACGUAACUGAAUGUGGAGACGUCGGCGUGAGCACUGGGAGGAGUUCUNNNUUCUUCUUAACAGCUUAUCACCCUGGAAUUGGUUUAUCCGGAGAUAGGGUCUUAUGGCUGGAAGAGCGUAGUACUUUUGCUACGUCCGGUGCGCUCACGACGGUCCUUGAAAAUCCACAGGAAGGAUUAGUUUUCAUGCCAAGUCGUACU